ACGAUAUUAAGGGGCUUGCUCCUUAAUAAAGUGGCGCACGGGUGCGUAACGCGUAUGCAACCUACCUUCAUCUGGGGGAUAGCCCGGACAAAUCCGGAUUAAUACCGCAUAAAAUCACAGCACUGCAUAGUGCAAUGAUCAAACAUUUAUGGGAAGAAGAUGGGCAUGCGUGUCAUUAGCUAGUUGGCGGGGUAACGGCCCACCAAGGCGACGAUGACUAGGGGAUCUGAGAGGAUGGCCCCCCACACUGGUACUGAGACACGGACCAGACUCCUACGGGAGGCAGCAGUAAGGAAUAUUGGUCAAUGGAGGCAACUCUGAACCAGCCAUGCCGCGUGCAGGAAGACUGCCCUAUGGGUUGUAAACUGCUUUUAUCCGGGAAUAAACCUAUCUACGUGUAGAAAGCUGAAUGUACCGGAAGAAUAAGGAUCGGCUAACUCCGUGCCAGCAGCCGCGGUAAUACGGAGGAUCCAAGCGUUAUCCGGAUUUAUUGGGUUUAAAGGGUGCGUAGGCGGCCUGUUAGUCAGGGGUGAAAGACGGUAGCUCAACUAUCGCAGUGCCCUUGAUACUGAUGGGCUUGAAUGGACUAGAGGUAGGCGGAAUGAGACAAGUAGCGGUGAAAUGCAUAAAUUUGUCUCAGAACACCGAUUGGCGAAGGCAGCUUACUAUGGUCUUAUUGAC
rnacentral:rRNA from 1 species